GCGGCAGGCUUAACACAUGCAAGUCGAGGGGCAGCGGGGAGGAAGCUUGCCUUCUCCGCCGGCGACCGGCGCACGGGUGAGUAACACGUAUGCAACCUGCCCCUGUCAGGGGGACAACCCGCCGAAAGGCGGGCUAAACCCGCGUACAUGCCACCGGGGCAUCCCGGAGGCAGGAAAGGCUUCGGCCGGACAGGGAUGGGCAUGCGGCGCAUUAGGCAGUAGGCGGGGUAACGGCCCACCUAACCGACGAUGCGUAGGGGUUCUGAGAGGAAGGUCCCCCACACUGGUACUGAGACACGGACCAGACUCCUGCGGGAGGCAGCAGUGAGGAAUAUUGGUCAAUGGUCGGGAGACUGAACCAGCCAAGCCGCGUGAGGGAUGAAGGUACAGAGUAUCGUAACCCUCUUUUGUCAGGGAACAAAGGCGGGGACGUGUCCCCGGAUGAGUGUACCUGAAGAAAAAGCAUCGGCGAACUCCGUGCCAGCAGCCGCGGUAAUACGGAGGAUGCGAGCGUUAUCCGGAUUUAUUGGGUUUAAAGGGUGCGCAGGCGGUCUGUUAAGUCAGCGGUCAAAGCCCGGGGCUCAACCCCGGCCCGCCGUUGAAACUGGCAGUCUCGAGUUGGAGAGAAGUAUGCGGAAUGCGCGGUGUAGCGGUGAAAUGCAUAGAUAUCGCGCAGAACUCCGAUUGCGAAGGCAGCAUGCCGGCUCCACACUGACGCUGAGGCACGAAAGCGUGGGUAUCGAACAGGAUUAGAUACCCUGGUAGUCCACGCAGUAAACGAUGAAUGCUGGCUGUCCGGGGGGGACUGACCCCUGGGUGGCGAAGCGAAAGCGAUAAGCAUUCCACCUGGGGAGUACGCCGGCAACGGUGAAACUCAAAGGAAUUGACGGGGGCCCGCACAAGCGGAGGAACAUGUGGUUUAAUUCGAUGAUACGCGAGGAACCUUACCCGGGCUCAAACGGGGAGUGACUCAGGCAGAGACGCCUGUUUCCCACGGGACACUCCCCGAGGUGCUGCAUGGUUGUCGUCAGCUCGUGCCGUGAGGUGUCGGCUUAAGUGCCAUAACGAGCGCAACCCCCGCGUGCAGUUGCUAACAGAUAACGCUGAGGACUCUGCACGGACUGCCGGCGCAAGCCGCGAGGAAGGCGGGGAUGACGUCAAAUCAGCACGGCCCUUACGUCCGGGGCGACACACGUGUUACAAUGGGUGGUACAGCGGGAAGCCAGGCGGCGACGCCGAGCGGAACCCGAAAUCCACUCUCAGUUCGGAUCGGAGUCUGCAACCCGACUCCGUGAAGCUGGAUUCGCUAGUAAUCGCGCAUCAGCCAUGGCGCGGUGAAUACGUUCCCGGGCCUUGUACACACCGCCCGUCAAGCCAUGGGAGCCGAGGGCGCUUGAAGUGCGUCGCCGCGAGGCGCGCCCUAGAGCGAAAUCGGUGACUGGGGC
rnacentral:rRNA from 1 species